AUGGAGGUUCCGGAAGAUCGUAGAGUUUCUUUGGUCGCAUACAAGCUGAAAGGAGGAGCCGGUGCAUGGUGGCAUCGCGUUCAAGAAGAGCGUAGGUUGAGAAGAGAACCUCGUGUGAGAGCUUGGCGGCAAAUGAAAAGUCUCUUGAAAAGGAGAUUUUUGCCCGCUGAUUAUGACCAGAUCAUAUUUAUCCAAUUUCAAAAUUGUGCUCAAGGAAAUAGGACUGUUUCAGACUACACGGAGGAGUUUCUACGGCUACAAGUGUGGUGCAACCUUGUUGAAACUGAAGAUCAACAAGUUGCAAGGUACAUCAAUGGUGAUGCUAUGCAAGAUCGAUUGAUGAUGCAACAAAUCUGGUCCGUUGAUCAAGCACAAGCUCUAGCCUUAAAGGCCGAGAGGUUUGUGAGGAUGAGAAAGACAACUAAGGCUACAUAUCCUCCAUAUCCUCAUACCGAAGGCUCAUCUAGGAGCCAACCUAAUAGAGUGGAAGAAAAGACCACUCCACCAAAGAUAAAACAGCCCAUCCCAAAGCAAACUAGAGGCAAGGGUAAGGCAAAUGAAGGCCCAAAUGCUAUAAAUGUGGUAAAGAGGGACACAUAUCCAGCGGUUGUCCACUAA
rnacentral:rRNA from 1 species